rnacentral:tRNA from 1 species
GCCGAUAUAGCUCAGUAGGUAGAGCGAUUCACUCGUAAUGAAUAGGUCAGCGGUUCGAAUCCGCUUAUCGGCUCCA